UACGAAGGGGGCUAGCGUUGUUCGGAAUUACUGGGCGUAAAGCGCGCGUAGGCGGUUUUGCAAGCCAGAGGUGAAAUGCCUGAGCUCAACUUAGGAAUUGCCUUUGGGACUGCGAGGCUUUGAGGACGGGAGAGGUGAGUGGAAUUCCCAGUGUAGAGGUGAAAUUCGUAGAUAUUAGGAGGAAUACCUGUGGCGAAGGCGGCCUCCUGGGCCGUUCUUGACGCUGAGACGCGAAAGCGUGGGGAGCAAACAGG
rnacentral:rRNA from 1 species